GUUUAAAUCUAAACAUGUAUUCUACCCAUAUAAUGACUUCCGCAAAGUUGUAAAUAUAAAGUACUAUGGAGGAGAGUAUUUUACUUCUGUUGUUUAGGAUAGUAGUUUUUCUUUAAGAUAUACAAAAUGUACAGCUACAAACAGUUCCAGAUCCAUGUCCAGAGUAUAUCUCCAGUACAACCAUCGGGGAUAUGUGCACCACUGAUUAUGCAACAGAAGAAGAUAACAAUGGAGGUACAACAGAAGACAGUGUUGCACUACGUGUUGUGACACAACAAGAUGGAUGUGAAUGUGAAGUUACAUUACAGAAUCAGACUAAUAUAUAUAUACAUUAUAUAUGAGGAAGUAUGAUAUGAUGACAAGUGCAGCUCCAGAACAGAUAGCAUGUGGGCUUGCCAUUAAGAUAGACUACACCAUACCAACAAAUCUCCCAGAGACUAAGGAUACAAUAAAUUGUACAGAUGGAACAAAUUCUCGCGCUAUAUCACUUUUGAAAAACGGAGUUCUAAAUCUCAGAUCUAGAAUUAUUGAUGGUACUUUUACUAGAGGUUACUGUAUUCAAAUAUAUAGACAACAAUUACUUGGCGACGAACAAAGUCUGCGAAUAAGUUGCAGUCAAUUUCGUACAACCACACGUAUUACAAAACACAAGGAGACAAUGCCAGAUAACUGUGGUAAUUGUUUUCUUAUUUCUCAUUGACUACAUAUUUGUUCAAUUUGGAGGUAGACUUUUUCUACAAAGUGUCGGCAUUCCUAUGGGAACGAACUAUGCGCCUCUCCUUUUCUUAUUUUCAUAUGAGUAGGAGUUCUUCCAGACACUUGUCAAAAACAAGAAGAUCAAACAAGCCAGAUCAUUUAAUUUCGAAUUCAGAUAUAUUGAUGAUGUUCUUUCCAUUAACAGUACAAACUUUUCUGAUUGGGUUCCAUUAAUAUGUCCCCCAGAACUAGAAAUAAAAGAAACAACAGACACGGCUUCCUCCGCCUCAUUUUUAGACCUAUACCUCGAAUUUGACAUGAGCGGUCAUCUCAGUACCAGAAUCUAUGACAACCGAGACGAUUUUAAUUUUGAAAUUAUCAAUUUCACCCACCUUAGGAGCAAUUUACCAACUUCGCCUGCAUAUGGAAUAUACAUUUUCCAACUCAUUCGGUAUUCAAGAGCUUGCUGCUACUACCCAGACUUUAGAAAACGUCGCCAGUAUCUGAGCAGAAAGUUGAUGAACUAGGGUAAUGUCUUUCCCUUUUUCAAAAAAAGUUCAUCGGAAGAUUCCAAGACCUUGUUGAUAAAUAUUCCGUAUCAACUUCAAAAUUAAUACAUGAUGGUCUUUAAGUAUAGAUUUUAGGUACUGACGUUGUUUAUCAUCUUAAUUACGUGUUAAAGUGUUCUUUUAUUUGGUCUGUUUGUUUUGUUCACACAUUGUUGUCAAUAUAAUGGAAUUUUAUGCGACUGUCAUACAAGUGAGAGGUUUAGCUAGCUAUAGCUAUAAAACCAGGUUUAGUCCUUCAUUUUCUACAUAAGGAAAUGCCUGUACCAAGUCAGAAAUAUGACAGUUGUUUUUUUUUCAAUUGUUUGAUGUGUUUGAGCUUUUGAUUUUGCCAUUUGAUAAGGGACUUUCCGAUUUAAAUUUUCCUUGGAGUUUAUUUUUUGUUAUUUUACUUUUUUCUUCUUACAAAAAAACGGAGCUCUUAGCACACUAACGUAAUCGAUAAGCGAACAUAAAACUGUAUUACUAUUAAUUCAUUAUAUCUGUUUAAAGAGCAUUAAUAUACUUUAUUUACAAACUCUCAAAAUUAAUCGUUGAGUUUUGUUUCGAGCAAUAGUCCCUUUGUAUGUGUUUUGUAGAAAAUGUCAUUGUAAGUUUACCAGUAAUUGUUGCUGCUGCUAUCGGUUGGUGUUUAACAGUAUUGUUUGCCAUAUCAACGAUCUAUAUGUACAGAAAAAGAAAUACACCACCACUAAAUACUGCUAUUGAACAACAUACCAACCCGCAAUAUGAGGAUUUAAGAGCAUCACGGACUUCAUCUUGUUACAAUGAGGUUGAUUUAUCAAUCAUUAUUAAUGCUGAACGACAUGAUCAUAUUUGACACCCAUAUAGUUACUAGAAUAAAGAAUAUGAAGGAUAAUGUCAUUCAUACACAUAUGUAGAGAUUGAUUUGGCUGACAGGAAUAUAUAAAGGAAAAUAUAAAACAGAUGUCGAUUUUUAAUGUGAUAAUCUGUACAAGUGACGUAGCAGCAUUUACACACAAAGUUUGCAAUACAUAGUUUAGAACGUUGCUAUUUCAUAGAUCUUAGCAUAAAAGCAUAUAAUUUUACAGACAAUUUAAUGAUAUU